rnacentral:lncRNA from 1 species
CUUUGCCUUGUAUGUGUCCUGGUCGAAGGCAGCAAACUCUAACAGGUUAAGCACCUGCCCUAAAGUGAGACUGCCUGGCUCUGCAGUUGACUAGCUGUACUAUUUUAGGAAAGUUAACUAACAUCUGUGUGACUCAGUUUUGCCAUCUGUGAAAUAGGGACAAUGCUAAUGCCUGUACUGCUUGGAGUGGUUGCGGGGAUUCAACGUCAAGGCCUCAGGACAGAGCCUGGUACAGGGGGCACACAAGAAGUUCUGGCUGUUUUGUGAGUUCUUUGAAUUCAGGACGGCCGAGCUGCUCAUCCCUCCGUUUAGUUUCUGAUACAGAACUCCUGGCAUCGAGUGAGUGCUCGGGCCAUUGUCCCAGGAAGGAGUUUUCUAGAGCCCAAGACCCUGCUGGAGAUCACAAGACCAAGCUGAAAAGACAAAGCACUUCCCCUUUGGCUCUAGACACCUCCUGGAUUCAGAAGAAAGGAAAUAACUAAC